GAACCUAUCUGUUUGCACUACUGUUGCUUUCUACAGUUAGGUUACUCCUUUUCUUCACGUUAAAGAAAUCAUUUUUCCAUCUACUGGUCACAAAAGGAACUGGAAUCUAGAAGAGCAGAUGAGCUCUCUUUGAGAUGAGUUUAAAAAAAUCUGGGGUGGGGAAUUAUUGUGUUAACCUUCUGUAUUCUUUCUUUCUUAGGUCCAUAUUGAGAUCCACUGACUUGUGGCUUGGUAGGCUGCUUGUGCUCUAUGCUGGAACUAAAGUCAAUCACGCUUUUCAGACUCGGCCUGCUGUGAAACAGCAAAGCUAUGCCUGUCUCCUGUAGGAAUAUGGAGAAAGAAGACUUAAACCAGAAACAAGUAUCUGAAAGUGGCCCAGGUCAUCACAAGGCAGCAACUCGCCUUAAACACAUACAUUCUUUGUUGAACAGCUCUCAAAAUCGUAGUAACAGUUUACGAAAAGAAUUACUAUAUUUUAAGAUCAGGAAUUGUUCAGUCUUUAAUGCUAUACCUCUGUGUUAUAUUGGCAAGGAAAUGCCUCCGAGUUUGAGUGAAUCGGCAGGGAGAAACUCAAGUACAGCUGCUUCUUCAAAGGACUCAUUUUGUCUGCAUUUUUCUUCUGAGAAAGACAGACUUGAUAGGGUUUCUCUUUGCAUUAACAGUACUUCAGUAAAGGGCUGGAUGGAGAAAGCUUGCUGUUUUGCUAAAGGCUUAAGUAGCUGGUUCUGUCCAGGAGACAACAGUGUAUGCCUUGCAUACUUCUGGCUGUCAAAGUUGCAGUAUAAUCAAAACUCACUGUGCCUGGAAUCAGAAACGAGCAGCAGCAUAGAGAAUGAAUUGCAGCUUGCGUUUCCUGGAGAGUUGGAAUUUGGUGGACUUUCUGAUCUUUAUUCUAUUCCAGUUGCCUCACUGAGUGAAUAUACUAUGGGACUCUUAAACAACCAGAAACCAUGUUUUUUUCUUUGUUACUUAAACCUUGUAUCUUCAGAGAAAACAACUGGAUAUAAGAAAAUGCUUUCAAACAUAAAAUAUGUGACAAGUAAUUUUCACAUCAUACAGCUAGUGACUUCUGUGCUAGCUUUUGCACUAGCAGGUCUCUGGUAUGGAGUAGCAAAGUUUAUCACCCUUGCAGUGGUAUUAACAGAAGUGCUUGUGGAUCAAGACUGCUGAAAUAACGUGGAUUUAAAAUCCCCAAAUGUCAGAAACAGACAUUUCCCAAAAAGUUUGUGGCUUAUUUGAAUUAUGGUGUUCAAUUGUCACCUAUCCACAGCUUGACCCUAAAAACAGCUGGCAGAGCUCAAGGCACAGGAAUGAAGGUAGGGAUGAACUGAAGCCUGUUUAAGCUGGCUUGAUUGCUAAAGAAGUCAUUGUGCAACUGCAUCUUAAUCUCUAUAAUUAACUAUAUAGGUAAAGGAAAAACUCUCUUCCUGUAUAUUGAGCUCUUUUACCUUUGUACCUAAACACAACCCUGCCUCCACAAUUGACUGCUUGGAUUUCCCUCUAUAAAGAAUUGGUUGGCACAGCUGUACCUGUAGUUACUACUCAAGAGUCCCUCUGCUCAGCUGAACAGCUUGGCCUAGAGUGUUCUCUUCCCAGAUGUACGUUAUUUUGAAACUGUGGGCUAUUGGAACCACAGUUACAUACAACACACAUUUGUAAAUAAUACUGUUAGAUUAAUAAGCAAGAAGAGUAGCUGAAGGCAUAAAAGCAUUAAUCCUGUUUUUAUGCACUUAUGGGUGGUGAUUUAAAAAAGGAGGAGGAGGAAAAACAAGAUAAACCACCUGUAAAUUAGAAUUUAAAUAUGUGUUUAGUGGGGUGCCAGGACUUGUCUUUUUAUGGAUAACAAGCCUAUUCAGGAGGGGAUCUUGGAGUGUUGGGUAGUAUUAUUAUCUGGACUGUGAUACAAUCUAGAUACUAUAGACCUGUCAUAAGCAAAACUUGCAUUGCGUGAGUGGCCUUUAAUCACUAUUACAGGAUCACUUUAAAUAACUGCAAUACAGAUAAGCAACAUGGUGAUAGGUAUUUGUAUAUUAUAUGUAUAAUGAACAUAAAUUUUAAAUAAUAUGUCUCAAGUGAGUGGAUUUAAUCCAUUUUAACAUAGUUUAUGUACUUUGCCUUGGAUUUUAUUGCUUAAAACCUAAAAGGUAACUUAACUUGAACAUUCCACGUGAAAUUGAAAUAAAGGAUAGUUAGUAUGCUAAAAUCUCA
rnacentral:lncRNA from 1 species